AAGUUCAAACCCAAGUGGGAAUACCCACACCAAAAGUGAUUUUGCUCAAACCAAUAGAAACUUUUUAAUUAGCUUAGUUUAUUCCAGCUCUUCUGUGUUUGGGGGUGUACAGAGUGGUGGUGGUAUGGCACUUGUUUUAACUGAUACAAAAUCAGCAGUAUUGAAAGUUAAGCAAUUUUUCUACAUGCUUUGUCUUCUAAGCAGAAUUUUUUAAUUAUUUAUAUGGCCCUGAUUUGCUAUCAGUGGGGGAAGUAUUCAGAGAUACCUCCUGUGAUCUUUUUCUGGAGAUGUCAUAUACACCUUCCAAAAAUAACCUAUUUUCAGCAACAGAUAAUUCAUCUACUGUUUCAAAGUAUAAUCUCAAGAUCUCAAUACUUUGUUUCAUUUCUUACUCAGUUAUGUCCAUAAUCCCUUAAUCUACUGCUAUACUUGCUUAUUCAUGUAUUCAUUGAACUGUACUGGGAAAUAACUUGUUGAAAAGAGAAGUUAUCACCAGUUAUUUUAUGAUGCAGUAUAAUUGCAGGGUAGUACCUGUAUAAUUGGGGAGGGAGAGGGAAAAGUAACUUGUCAAUUUUAUUGAAACUCAUCAGGAACUCAGCAUAAAACAGCCUAAAAGAUUUGAUUUCGAAGACCAGCCGAGUGCCUCUCCCCCAGAGUCUGCCCAGUUGAAGAAGUAACGAGCCACACUGACAACUGAAAGUCUUGGCCAGAGGAUCACUGUGCGGUGACAGGAUAUUCUGGCUGCAAACAUGGACUGGAGAAUAUUUUUCUUACUGUGUCAGACAGUACGGGAGAGGAGAUGCACAGUACUGUAGCUCUUCACUUAGUCCCGUGUGAGUAAUAUAAAUGUUUUCUGGUUUUCAUGUUGGAUCCUUAAGGAGGGGGAGCCUGGAGGAGGAGGAGAACAGCUGUGCAUCUGAACUGACUUCUGACGAAUCAGCACAUUUACCUUGGAUACCAUCCUGACCUUCAAAAUUCAGGGGAGAGCGAUCAGUCCUGACAAGAGGUCUCUUUAGGACUUUUAGAUUGUGUUUAUUCUCCCUCUCUUGUAUUUCAAUUACCUAAACGUUUAUAUAAUUCAAAAACUGAUUUCAGCACAGCAAAGAAAGCUAUAGACCAGAUGCUGUAUUUCCUUUGCUAUGUAGCCCAUAACUAACAGAACAACAAUUUCUUUAUUAUAGGGUGAAAGCAUAUCUAAGAAAUACGCUGUCAGUGGUGUCAAGAGGAAUGUGGCAUGCUGCACCGUUUCUGAGCAUUAAUACUUUCAUUUAUUUUCAAAUAGUUUGCAGAGCAGCCGACACCAGGCAUAUAGACUGUGCACAAUUAAUUCAAAUUGAAUAAAUGUCUGAAGGAGUUUUUGGAAUUACUGUACCAUUCAAACCCUGUACUGUCACUGUAAGGCAAAAGAAGAAACAUACGCUAUUAAAAUUUUUCUUAGAAGAGGCAGCUCACUCGCCUGUGCCCUGUUUGCACAGAACUUACUCUGGUAAAUUUAGGGUACGUGCUAUUCUGCAUAGCAGUGAAGCAUACCCUUAAGUCUCACUGAAAUAUACAAGAUGACAGGGAUUACAAGUCCUUCCUGAGGAGCCGGAACAGAACCCAUUAAGGUAUUGCAAGUCAUGCAAUUCAAUGGCCCUGAAAGUAUAAUUUGAUUGUAAUUCAGGAGGUUACUAAAAGGAAAUCCAUACUAGGCUGUAAGAUAAGCAAAAGCGAGAAGUGUAUUUACUAUGAGUGGUUAAAUGUGAGGUGUGUGAGUCCCUUAUCUCUUUUGUCUGCAGUUUAUCACCACUGAAGGCAAGUAAAAGGGGAAUAAUAUCUAGUUCACAAGAGAAGAUUAGAUUAAGCUUUCCCAAAGGUCUUAUGGGAGUUACUUCCAUUUCACUCUCGUCUGGAUUAGCUUAACUCCUUCAGGCUAUUUCUGAAUCUGUAAAGGAGAAGGUCUUGGUGCAUGGGAGGGAGAGGAGGAUGGCCAGGACAUUGUUUCUUCACGGAGGAAUUUGCCUUUGACUUCCGUAAAGGAAUUAGGAGACCUACAAAGUCCUACCUGAGUGCAGGAAUUCUUUUACUGUGGAGCUUUCUUUUUCAGAUUCCUUUUUGCUAUGCAAGCUUAUUGCUUUGUAAUGGGUGUCUCUUAUAGGUGUUUAUUAGAAUCAUUAUUUAUUGGAAAAAAACUGGGUGCUCUCAUAUCUUGCUGUGGUUGUACUCACUGCCCUUGUCUACAGCUCUAGGUACUUCAGCUCAGUUUACGCAUGUGAAAUAGCUAAUGAAAUAUUGGAGUGGACUUGAGGUGGUUGAGUUUAUGUACUAUGAUACUGAAUUUUUUUAAUGUUAUCUCUUUGUUAUUGUGUACAACCUUGGGACAAGCUCUUUCUAAAAUACACUUACGUGAAAGGUAGAUGCAAGAAGUGUAACACAGAGCAAGGUUCCCUUGGCUGCAGACAGGCAUGUGAGGGUGCCUAAUGUGCUGAAAGGGCAGUCUGUCCAAGGUGAAAGUAGAGGCAGCGACAUCGAGAGAGACCACGCAGACACCUACCAUGUACAUGCAAGAGACUGACACCACCAAAUAAAAAUUACUCAGAGAGAUAAUACAGAGCACCACGUGUUGGUGUUUCCAAUUACCUUAACUUUCAUUGUAUGAAUCCAUAACUUUCCCCUUCACUUUCAUUGUAGGAAUUGGGAAGAAAAGGCAGCCAGUCUUUCUCUGCAGAAUCCUACCUGGCUCACUGUGUGACUUGGAAAUAGCCCCAGGUUUUCUGUAUUUUGUUUCUGUGUGAGAAGGAAUUCUGCAGCAGCAGAGCACAGGGCAUGCUUGGUCCUGCUCUGGCCCAGGGAAAGGAUGUCACUGCUUCUGAUAUGGUGAAAUCCAGUCUCUGUCAGUGCCUCUGUUCCACCUGCAUUAUAUUAGUUUUAGUAGAAAUGAUGCAGUCUGGCUGCAAGAUGCUUCUCAAUCAUAAGUAUUAGUUUAGGCAGGGAGGGUUAUCCAAGCAAAGACUGAUUAUGCAGAGGACGUGAUUUUGUGCUUCAUGUGUGUUUGCAGCCCAGAAAGCCAACUGUAUCCUGGGCUGCAUCAAAAGAAGCGUGACAGCAGGUCGAGGGGGGUGAUUCUCCCCCUCUGCUCCGCUCUGUGAUAGCUUAAGCUAGAAGAAGUGAUCACAAAUAGACAUUCAUCACUUUCCAGCUAAUAGCAUGCUGUUUGCAAAUAGAACAGGAGAAAAACUCUGCAUCUCGGACACUCUGACAGAGUGAAACUGCAAGUGGAACAGCCUUCUCUUGGAAAUCCUGGGUAUUGUUUUUGCCUUAGCAUCAUCGGAUCGCUUCUUGUAUGCUAAUCAGCAGCUUCGCUGGCUCUGGACAGGCACCAGCUCUCCAAGAGGCCGUGGACAGAGUUACUUGCCUGCAGUAAAAUGGAGUCCCCGCAAGCCCUAAGCGUGUGUCCCACGAUUCACGCGCCUACCGACUCCCAGAUGCCGAGAUGCACCGCCGUGGGCAAAUAAAUACUGCCUGCGACCGCCGUCUCCUGUGAUUGCCUACUUGGAACGUGGCAGAGUGAAAAGCAGUCGCAUUAGCAGAAAUGCUAACUGAGAGCGAGUCAUCCAGCACAAGCCACUGUGUGUUUCUUCUCUGCCAUCUGCCGUGGUUGCCCUCUUCCCUGCCUACUCGUGGUAGAAGAAUUGUCUUUUUCUCCAUCCUGCUAAGCUUCCCAGACAACUGAUCCCCCUUGUGCCGCUGCCGGACCAGUGCCACGAGGCUGCUGAGAAGACGUGACCUGGAGGAGAUGGGUGUAAAUGCUGACCUCCCUGCAAGUUACCCACCCACUGACGCUUCGGUUUAGCUCCUCACUCAGAAAUCUCUCUUGAUUCUAAUAAAGAAACCAAAACAAAGGAUGCUAUUCAUACUUUGGUUUAACAAUCCAGCAUAGAAGAAAACAGCAUGACUCGAGCCAAGGAGAAGAGUAGAGAGAGUGAAUAGACAGCACAAAUCAGCAGUAAAGAAGCAGUCUGCUGCAGCACCUGUACAGAAAGCCCAAGGCCAGCGAGGGAAGUGGCAGAAAGAUUGCAGUGGGAAAUGGCAUGGGGAGCACCAUAUGCACCAAGCACCGAAAGGCUGAGAACAGCAUUUUAAGCUAUCCUAAAGAUGGGGAGAUGUCUCUGUCCUUGGGUGGAAGGGAGACUCACUAAAAGAAUAUAUGUGGGACAGCAGAAGACUGCCAGAAAUGAGUAUUCGUUUCCUCAACCCAAAAGAAGCUCUUCUGUGGGCUCUCUGCAGAGGACAGGACGCCAUCCCAGGAAUGGUGGGAGCUCGACACAGGACAAGUAGGUGAGUCCCUUUGUCCUUAGCAGGUAAAUAUAAAAAAGAACUACCAUGAAGAAAAGAAUUUAUAUGAAAAUUUCAUAAUCUAUCCAUUAGUUGGGCUAACAUUAUUUUGAUAACUUUUUGCUAAUCGUGAAUUUAAUAAUGAUCUCUUUCGCUCUAAAUCCAUCAAUCAUUAAUGCAGAGAUUUUCUGAAGGGCACAGGUAGCAGUGAAUUACCUUUUGUGGGAGGUAUCUUAGGAGUAAAUCAACAAAUUGAUUCCUAGUCUAAAAAAAUUGAUUAAUUUAUUAAGAUGAAGUUUUGAUCUUUGCUCCCUCAAAGUUUUGAUGAGCAUUAGUAGUAUUAGAAUUGCAGUUCCAGACAUCCAGAACAAUCUAUUAAGUUAAUAGGCAGUGAGAGUUUGAGAUUGAUUGCUAUAAUCACAGCAUGAAAGCUGAAAUUUGUUUUGUAGAUAUAGAUAACUGGGCCAGAUUCUGGCACAACUGCAGAGAUGUGUGUUACUACAAAACCUGUGUGCUUAAAUUCUGAUGAACUAAAAAGGAGAAUAAAAUGCUCUUCAAAAAGAGUGAGACUCUUAUAAUUUGACUCUAAUAAAAUAGUCCUAAAUUCUUCUUCACAAGCCCGUAUGAGUUUAGGCAAGCCUAAAUAAGUAUAGGAAGGCUAUUAACCUUGUAUUGGUUCUACAGCACAACCUACAUCAGCCCCUUGAGAAGCCACGAUGCACAGUAGCAUCAUGGUCUGUAUUGGAAUGAUAUAACUAAUGAAGACUCUGGAAUCUUCAAAUUGAAGCAGAGAGAAGUAGAAAGCUUUCUACUGCUGUGAAAUCCUCCUUCCCACCCCGUACCCACUGUACCAAAUCUCUUAGCGACCCGAGGGAUGCUCAGGGGGGUUCGGCGGGUGUUGCCCCAACCCUGCAGGCAGAGGCUGUGCCUGCUGAAGCAGCCCUGUAGCGGAUGGCCAAAAGCUCUCCAAAGACUGAUUAAAUUGCCAAGGUAAUGUAUUGAAGAAAGUGCACUUCAAUAAUUAAAUUGCUCUGAUGCUAUUGCUACAUUCUACAAUUUUUUUUCUUGCGCUCUUGCUUGUAUUUUGACUAUCCUUGAAGAAGUCCACGCUUCCAGAGCUUCCUUGCUCCCCGGAUUUUAUAGGUAAGCCCUCGACACUGUUCCUUUCUCUGUCUGUCAUCAUGAGACUCAAAGGGAGAGGGCUGUCUCCCAUGCAUUCGAAAGCCUGAUCCUGAGCCAUCGAGUGAGGCAGACGGUCCCAACGCACCCCCUCAGCUCAGAAAUCCUCUGGUCUGGUUUUAAACAUGGUGCAGUGGCUUAUCUGCUAAAUAAAAUCUAAAUGAGAAAUGUUGAUACUUAAUGAAAUAUAAGUUUGGGGAUUUCACAUAAGAAAGCUGCUGUCAGUGCUUUAAUUUAUUAGGGGAGAGUUAUGUGCAGAUGGUAUAUACAGAGUUAUUUCCUGACUGUACUCCAAAGUAAGUUGAUUUGUGGUUUAAUGACUUUUAUCAAAAUGAAAUAAGCAUUUGAUCUUUGGAUUUGAUCUGGCUAUAUCUGCAGCUGCUACACCACUACAGCAAUUACUUCCAAACUGGGCUUUUUGCCCAGGCAAAUGGAGUUCGUCCUUGUUUCAUGUCUCAUUGACUGUCCUGAUAAUACACACAGUGGUACUGUAGGUUUUUUCUUCCUCUAAAUUUGAUAGGUGUGAAAGUAAGAGAGUAAUUCGCUUUUUUUUAGUAUCAGUGUUGUUUCAUUAUAAUACAUUUGCUACCACUGGUUAAUUUUAUCUCGAAGCUGCUCCUAACUAAAAUUUAGUGUCAGAAUGUGUAAUUUUCUCUACAUAAUCCUGCUAUGCGCUUUUUAUAGAGAACCGAGAAAUUCAUUUAUGAAUUCUAAAUCUGGGAACCCUCGUGGUAAUCUUCACAUCUGUCUGUGUGGUUUAAGGAUGAAGUUGUAGUGAUACGUUGUACACCCACACUGGACUAAAUCCACUCCUAAUGUAUUUCCAUGGAAGGCAAUAGAGUUAUACUAGAAAUAAAUUUACCCCCUUGUAUCCAU